UCACUGUCAUAACUGUCAAAAUUUUGAAGGUUAAUGUCACAAAAUAUCCUCCCCCAAGCCAAGGGGGAUAUUUUAUGGUUAAUGUUUUGUCUACACUCUACUGCUAUAAUAAUCUCCCCAUAAGACCUUAGAUUUUAUUUAAUUAGAAGAUGAUCUUUUCGACAUAAUGGUCUAUCAAAGAAAGAAACAAGCACAAAAUUUCACUACAUCGGAAAAAGAAAAGGAUUGUUACACUUAUUGGGAAGUUUAUAGAAGUGUAAUGGGAGAUAAAAAGACCGAAUCUAUGUUAUAAUUUCUUCAAGUGCUGUGGCAUUAAUACAAUAAACCCAAGUGCCGACUACCCUCUCUUCCGGUCGUUCAAGAUAAACUGCGUACAAACGACAGUAAAAGCAAAAACAUUCAUGACAAUUGAACCCAGGACAGAUAAAUUAAUUAUUACUCCAUUUCCGCCUUUGAUCACUGGGCAGCGAGCCUCCGCUUGGGUGCUUAAUAAUAUUAAUUGCUGUUUACAAAACGUGUCUUGCUGAUUUUCAUCAUUGAAAGAUAAUUGGGAUAAUAGUUUAGUACAUGCACUGGUAAUCUUGUUUCCUUCGGAUUCCAGUCGAUGGCCUGCGGUUAAGUAUAACAGCACUUGACCCUAAAAAAAAGAAUACUAAGUAAACCUGAUCACUAAUCAAGCAGAUUCACUUACGAACAUAGAAAUAAUCCAACAAAUGUUAUAAAAGAUAUUACAAAUCCAGGCUUCAAAUGGCAAUUGCGGUGAAAUAUCAAAUUUGGAGGAGGAUAUUUGCAUUAUGUCAGCAUUAAUGAAUAAAAUCACCGCUCGUAUUAUAUUCGCGAUCACUCCGAUUAAUGAAACGAACGCUAUUGACGCAACACAUUCAUUAAAUUCUUCAGUGAUAUGACACAAGUCGUUGUGUUUUUUCGAGAGCUUUUUUAGGCACUCAUAGUUUGCAGGCUUGAAUAAGUAAAUUGUCCUGAUUUUUGGCCACUGUGGCUUCUGGGCAUUCAAAUUGGCCACCGUAAACAGAUCUACACCGUCCUAAAAUUGUAAUACAAAGGUUAAAUGGGACAGGUGGACUCGACUGUCCUACUUACGAUAACAGAAUUGACUUUACGUAAACCAGCAAAGGACCGAUCGAAUUCCUCAUUUAAGUCGGCAAACAUGUCCCUUAAACCGUUCACGAGCUCGAUUUGGACCAGCAAGGUGAAAUGUAGAUAGACAAACUGUAGAUCUUGCAACACGUAAUACUGGUACAUCUGCACGAACGUGCGAGGAUUAAAUGCGUAGAAGUUUCCUGUGAGGCCGAGGAAACCGAUAGCGAUUGGGAUGUACGAUGUUAAGCUGCAAAAAGAGACAUUCAUUAGUCCAAAGAUUUAAUAGGAAAUUGUCCAGGAUGUCGUAACAAUGGUUUAUUCCGUUUGUUGCACUGGUGUAGAAGAGAUGUUGAACAGGCUAUCGGAUUCAUGUCAAAACAAAACAGUAGACACUAUAGUACAGAAUACUGUAAUUGAUUGAAUAGCCCAAGCAGCUUAGACCAUAACUGUCUCCUGAAGGAAUUCAAAAAGGAAGAAGAAGAAAAAUGUGUUGUGUCCUUUCGAUGUUGGUCACUCUGACAAAUUUCAAUUGUGCCAAUUGUAGGGAAACUAAAGAACUCUGUUUACGAAAACAAAAUAGAAAGUUACAUUUAGUUAAGAAUUUAGGAUAGUUGCGUUAGAUCUGACGUUUUUCUUGUACUUGUUUAAGAUUUUUUUUUUUAAAGAAAGCAAUCCUCACCUAAACUGAGACAAAGUUUCAAUUGUAUUCUAGUGAAACCCUAUCGUUUGGUCUUAAUUAUACCCAUUUCUAGUCUCUGACACAUAUGUUUUAAUUUAGAAUAAUGGUUUAAAAACAAUGUCCAAUGAAAAAAUAAAUUUAGUUCGUGACAGAUCACACGUCAGCGUCGUCAAUUUCAUUACCUUCAUUUAAAGUAUUUUUUGUUGGCAACACUGAAAAUGUUCAGAGUGACCAACAUCAAAAGGACACAACCGCUAUAAAAAUGGCGGCCACCAGUCAGCGGUCAUUUUUGGUUAUGGUUGCCAUACCUAUCAGCAGUCCAGGUAUAUUUAUUAAGUUCGUGGUAACGAUAUUGUAAAAACCGUAAUACCAGUUGAUUCUUUGUCAUUCCGGAAUGACACAAGUGGCACACACGAUGUCUCGAAGGUCAGCGAAUCUUCCGGAAUUAUGGUCAGCCGAGUAUAUAAGGAACCGCGUUGACGCUGGAAGUGAGUCGUCAAUUCCGUAAAGUAGAGUUCGUAAUAUUGGCGCGAGAUUCAAAUCAGACAUUAAUAGUUGUAAAUAAAUACGGAGAAAAAAUUAAUUAUUUGACUCUUU